rnacentral:rRNA from 1 species
AUUGUUUGGAGAGUUUGAUCCUGGCUCAGGACGAACGCUGGCGGCGUGCUUAACACAUGCAAGUCGAGCGGAAAGGCCCUUCGGGG